CUCGUAGGUGGCCAACUAAGUCAGACGUGAAAUCCCCAGGCUUAACCUGGGAACUGCGUCUGAUACUGGAUGGCUUGAAUUCGGGAGAGGGAUGCAGAAUUCCAGGUGUAGCGGUGAAAUGCGUAGAUAUCUGGAGGAAUACCGGUGGCGAAGGCGGCAUCCUGGACCGAGAUUGACACUGAUGAGCGAAAGCCAGGGAGCAAACG
rnacentral:rRNA from 1 species